CGUUUUGCAACGAAACUCUUCAUAUAUUAUAUGUUUGUAUAUGUGGUACUAGUUAAAUAAAAGAUAUGGAAACGGAAGACCCCCCAUUUAAAUUUUGAGUGUUGUAUAUCUUUUUUUUCAGAAGAAUAAGAACAUGAUAAAAAGGUAAAUUGCCUGAACUGAAUUUAUUAAAGUACUUCAGGGACACACUUUUCAUUGUAAAAGAGUUCUGCAGUAGCAAUAUAUUUGUAUGUGUGUGCAUAGGCGGUCUACAUCAUACAGACAGCUAGGGGGAGCUCUCGCAUAGGUCUGCUUAGUAGUAGUAGCGCUUAUAUAUACACAAGUUAAUGCAGAGAGCAGAUAACAGUGAUUCGAGAUGCUCCGGGCAUACCUGUCAAGUAUCCCGUUUUGGCCGGGAAAGUCCCGUAUUUUACCCUUCUUUCCCGGCGUCCUCCCGUAUUAGUAUUUUCCCGUAAAUCUCCCGUAUUUUAACCUCGGUAAUUUCGCACGCAAAGGUUGUGAUCUAUAAAAAAGAUCCUAAAGAUCCACUGAUUCCGCCAAUCCACUUCGUGUUUUCCCGCCCGCUCCGCAGCAUCUCUGUGUGUGUGCACUCUCUGCCUGGAGAGCAAAGACGACAGUUUCUGAAGUUCGUUGCAUUAACAGGUAGAUUUAUUACAUUAUAUCAGUUGUUAAACCGCAGAAUUACUCAUUUGGAAGUUUGUUUAUGUAUUUCUUCCGGUAAUGAUUUGCUUAGCAAGCAAACUACAACAAAAUAUCCACAUUCUUACUAUUAUAUCGCUUGUCUAAUGGAUUUAAUGUUCCCGAUCAGAUCUAAGUUAAUAUAAACACUACAUUUGCUGUUGUUGGUACACUUUGUAGGCAAAAAAAUACAAAAAACACCAAUGCCUUCACAAAAUAAAGACAGAGAACGGAAAGGGAGGCUGCUUCUAAGGCAGUUCAACAUUGCAAACAUGAUGGAUUCAAAGCUUUCAAGCCAGCAGGUAAAUCAUAUUGAAUAUUUAUUGUCACACUUUAUAUUUCCCAUUAUAAUCACGUUAAUCAAGUUGAUGCUAGUAAUAUAACACAUCAUAUUUAUAAUACUUUAUUAGAACCAUACUAAUAGUAUCACCCCCGUAGUGCCCUUUUUGAUUUGGGCCACUAGCAUUGGUUUGGGCCCCAUCUAGCAUUUUAAUUUUCUAAAUGACUGUUAUCAUUACAAAGACAAGUGAAUGGUUUAUAAAUAAUUUUGGCAUGAAGGUAUAAUGCAAAAUAAGUUAAAUUAAGGCUUUUCAACCUAAGGCCAGUUACCUAAGGAGUUUUGUACAGAUGCACAUUUGUGUGUAUAGCAUGUACAGUAUGAGUGUGACUUAUGAAAUGUAGUUUUCACAGAGCUGUGUGUUUCACUAGUUUUCUUGCUAUUAAAUUAGUUUGUUUAGUUAAUUUUAACACAAUUUCAGCACACUAAGGUUUAAAAAAUAUUAUCCGGCCCUCACAUUGUGGCGUUAUUUACCAUCCGGCCCUCAGCCUAAAAUGAGUUUGACACCCCUGAUAUAUACCAUUUUGUGUUGUCAUUUAGGCUAUAGCACCAGUCUUAAAAUGUAAGGGAUACUGGAGUUUGUUUGGGUUGGUAGGACUGCUCGCGGUGGGCGCUGGAAAAUUUCCCUUAUUUUCAAAUUUAAAACUUGACAGGUAUGGCUCCGGGAGAAAUUAAUCUAUCUUGUUUAAUAUUCUUUGCAGGUAAGAUUAAUUCGAGUAUAUAACAAGUUAAAGGUGUCUAUAAAUGGUUGUCAUCAGUGUUUAACGUUUUGAGUGAGAUUUGAACAACAAAACUGUAUUUUAAGUACUCGUGAAUGUAAUACGAACUGAAGUAACUAUCUUGAAAGUUCCUUUUAAAAACAAAGAUUGCUAUUUCACAGAGAGAAAAAAAUGCAAUUAUGUUGUUACUUGAAUUUUGAUGGUAAACAACUAUUUGACAGUACCGUGAGUUCAGUAGUGCACACGGAGUUCGCGGGUGUCCGCCAUUUUGUUUCAAGUGAAUGUUGCCAUGGUGAUAGUGCUAAUAAUUGAAUUGUAAAUGAGAUCAUAUGUUUGCGUAUGAAACAAGAGUAAAGAAAUAUGACAGAAAAUAACUCAUAUGAUGUUGAGGUUGUUUUGAGCAUAUAAUUAGUGCUUAAAUAGACAAUUUAUGGUUUCUAAAAGAAUCUUUAAAAGACAAAAGAUAAUCUAAUGUGAAAUGAUAAUCUAAUGUGAAUACUACUACUAUUAGGCUGAAUCAAAACCUGCCAGACUAAAGUUGAUUUUGCGUGAGAAAGAUGUUGAAAACUCUGAAUCAUCUUGACAUUCUUCAAUGAGUAAUUGUUCCAUUUUUACGCAAAUAGUGUACACUAUGAAUGCUGUGAAUAAACAUAUAUUUAAAUAUAA